GCCUGAUUGGCUCAGUUGGUAGAGCGUAGGACUCAUGAUCUUGGGGCCGUAAGUUUGAGCCCCAUGUUGGGUG
rnacentral:tRNA from 1 species